UGGUACAAAAACAGAUACAUAGACCAAUGGAACAGAAUAGAAAACCCAGAAAUAAAGCCACACACCUACAACAAUCUGAUUUUCAACAAAGUCAACAAAAAUAGGGAAUGGGAAAAGGACUCCCUAUUCAAUAAAUGGUACUAGGAUAGCAAGAACUUAACAUAGAGCUACCAUUUGACCCAGCAAUUUCAUUAUUGGGUGUAUACCCAAAGGAAUAGAAAUCAUUCUGCCAUAAAUACACAUGAAUGUGUAUGUUCAUCAUAGUGUAAAAAGUAAAGCAGAGGUUCCUCUUCAAAGACUUUCCUCCCCAUUUAAUUAGGAAAAAAUAGUAACUUCUCUUAGAAGCAAAAUUUAUUCAAAGACCUGUGCUAGCAGUCCUAAAUUAUUAUCCUAAGCAACUUAACACAGGAACAGAAAACCAAAUGCUGCAUGUUCUCAUAAGUGGAAGCUGAACAUUGAGUACACAUGGACACAAAUAAGGGAACAACAGACCCCAGGGCCUACUUGAGGGUGGAGAGUGGGAGUUACCUGUUGGGUGUUACGCUGAGUACUUGGGUGACAAAAUUAUCU
rnacentral:lncRNA from 1 species